CAAUAGCGUAUAUUAAAGUUGUUGCGGUUAAAAAGCUCGUAGUUGGAUUUCCGCUGAGGACGACCGGUCCUGCUUCGUGUAGGAACCUGGUUUGGCCGAAGCACUUCUUGGUGUGAGCGUGGGCGUGUGAAAGCGCCGCGUAACCUCCAAGGCAUUUACUUUGAGGAAAUUAGAGUGUUUCAAGCAGGCGUCUGCCUUGAAUACAUUAGCAUGGAAUAAUAGGAUAGGACUUCAGUCCUAUUUUGUUGGUUCUUGGGACUGUAGUAAUGAUUAAUAGGGACAGUCGGGGGCAUUCGUACUUAACAGUCAGAGGUGGAAUUCUUGGAUUUGUUAAAGACGAACUACUGCGAAAGCAUUUGCCAAGGAUGUUUNCAUUGA
rnacentral:rRNA from 1 species